rnacentral:rRNA from 1 species
CAAGUCGUACGCGACCUUUUUCUUCGGAGAUUGGAAGAGUGACGAAUGGGAGAGUAACGCGUGGGUUAUUUACCUUUUAGUGGGGGACAACACAGAGAAAUUUGUGCUAAUACCGCAUGUGGCGAGCAAUCGCUAAAGAUGGCCUCUAUUUAUAAGCUAUCGCUAAGAGUUAAGCCUGCGUACUAUUAGUUAGUUGGUGCGGUAAUGGCGACACCAAGGCAAUGAUAGUUAGGCGGCCUUAACGGGUGACCGCCCUCACUGGGAUUGAGAUACGGCCCAGACUCCUACGGGAGGCAGCAGUCGAGAAUAGUCUACAAUGAACGAAAGUUUGAUAGUGCAAUGCCGCGUGGAUGAAGAAGCAUUUCGGUGUGUAAAAUCCUUUUUUAGAUGAGCAAAUGUUGGAAGGCGAACAACUUUCCAUAAAGAUAUUAGUCUAAGAAUAAGCCUCGGCUAACUCCGUGCCAGCAGCCGCGGUAAUACGGGGGAGGCAAGCGUUGUCCGGAAUCACUAGGCGUAAAGGGCAAGUAGGCGGAAUGGUAAGUUACAUGUUAAAUUUAUAGGCUCAACCUAUACUCAGCAUGUGAUACUGCUUUUCCUGAGUCAGACAGGGGAAAAGCGGAUUUCUGGUGUAGCGGUGGAAUGCGCAGAUAUCAGAAAGAACACUCAUGGCGAAGGCAAUUUUCUGGGUCAUGACUGACGCUCAAUUGCGAAGGUGUGGGUAUCAAACAGGAUUAGAGACCCUGGCAGUCCACACAGUAAACGAUAAUCACUAGGUGUCGGUAGAGAAGAUCUAUCGGUGCCGUAGCUAACGCGUUAAGUGAUUCGCCUGGGGAGUACGUUCGCAAGAAUGAAACUCAAAGGAAUUGACGGGAUCCCGCACAAGCGGUGGAGCAUGUGGUUUAAUUCGAUGCAACGCGAAGAACCUUACCUGGGUUUGACAUGUUAGAGAAUCUUAUAGAGAUAUGGGAGUGCCCUUCGGGGAGCUUUAAUACAGGUGCUGCAUGGCUGUCGUCAGCUCGUGUCGUGAGAUGUUGGGUUAAGUCCCGCAACGAGCGCAACCCCUACCAUUAGUUGCCAAUAUUUAUUUAGGGACUCUAAUGGGACUGCCGAUGUAAAAAAUCGGAGGAAGGUGGGGAUGAUGUCAAGUCGUCAUGGUCCUUAUGUCCAGGGCUACACACGUGCUACAAUGGUCGGUACAACGGGUCGCUAGGCAGCGAUGUCAUGCCAAUCCCUUAAAGCCGAUCUCAGUUCGGAUUAGAGUCUGCAACUCGACUCUAUGAAGUUGGAAUCGCUAGUAAUCGCGUGUCAGCAUAACGCGGUGAAUACGUUCCCGGGAUUUGUACACACCGCCCGUCAAGUCAACCGAGUAGAGUGCACCCGAAGAAGGUGAGCCAACCGAAAGGAAGCAGCUUUCGAAGGUGUGCUUUGUGAGGGGGACU